rnacentral:misc_RNA from 1 species
CUUACUGCAAUUUCCUUCGAACCUUUUUCACUAACUACUCUUUGAAACUCAGGAAAAUCUUGAAAACGUUUCAGCUUUACAACAAGGCUAUCAUAAAGCCAGCCAUUCCCUAUUUCCUUAGCAUAGACGAUCCGAUCCACCCUACGUUCCGAGGUCGCUCGAGUGGUUGGAAUCUUACGUUCCAUAGAAAUUUAUUGGCUUGGGAAGCAGAGGACUUGGUUAGGCUUUACACCUUAAUGAACCACUUUCUGGUUUGCACCUCUCAUAGGGAAGAUCAGUGGAAGUGGUUGGCAUCUUCAUCAGAUAAAUUUACCACCUCAUCUUUUUAUAAUCUGUUAUUAUCUUCGGGUGCUGUU